rnacentral:rRNA from 1 species
AACGAACGCUGGCGGCAUGCCUAACACAUGCAAGUCGAACGAGACCUUCGGGUCUAGUGGCGCACGGGUGCGUAACGCGUGGGAACCUGCCCUUAGGUUCGGAAUAACUCCCCGAAAGGGGUGCUAAUACCGGAUAAUGUCUUCGGACCAAAGAUUUAUCGCCUUUGGAUGGGCCCGCGUUGGAUUAGCUAGUUGGUAGGGUAAAAGCCUACCAAGGCGACGAUCCAUAGCUGGUCUGAGAGGAUGAUCAGCCACACUGGGACUGAGACACGGCCCAGACUCCUACGGGAGGCAGCAGUGGGGAAUAUUGGACAAUGGGCGAAGGCCUGAUCCAGCAAUGCCGCGUGAGUGAUGAAGGCCUUAGGGUUGUAAAGCUCUUUUACCCGGGAUGAUAAUGACAGUACCGGGAGAAUAAGCACCGGCUAACUCCGUG